AAAAUACUCCCUCCGUCCGAAAAUACUUGUCAUCAAAAUGGAUAAAAAGAGAUGUAUCUAGAACUAAAAUAUGUCUAGAUAUAUCUCUUUUUAUUCAUUUUGGUGACAAGUAUUUCCGGACAGAGGGAGUAAUAG
rnacentral:pre_miRNA from 1 species